UACGUAGGGGGCGAGCGUUGUCCGAAGUUACUGGGCGUAAAGCGCGCGUAGGCGGCUUUUUAAGUCUGAGGUGAAAGGUUCAGCGCUCAACGUGAACAUUGCCUUGGAUACUGGGAGGCUUGAGUGUGGGAGGGGGCAGUGGAAUUCCUGGUGUAGCGGUGAAAUGCAUAGAUAUCAGGAGGAACACCAAUAGCGAAGGCAGCUCGCUGGGACGGUACUGACGCUAAGGCGCGAAAGCGUGGGGAGCGAACAGG
rnacentral:rRNA from 1 species